rnacentral:rRNA from 1 species
GAUGAACGCUGGCGGCGUGCUUAACACAUGCAAGUCGAACGGAAAGGCCCAAGCUUGCUUGGGUACUCGAGUGGCGAACGGGUGAGUAACACGUGGGUGAUCUGCCCCGCACUUCGGGAUAAGCCUGGGAAACUGGGUCUAAUACCGGAUAGGACAGUGGUUUGGAUGCCAUUGUGGAAAGUUUUUUCGGUGUGGGAUGAGCUCGCGGCCUAUCAGCUUGUUGGUGGGGUAAUGGCCUACCAAGGCGUCGACGGGUGGCCGGCCCGGGAGGGUGUACGGCCACAUUGGGACUGGGAUACGGCCCAGACUCCUACGGGAGGCAACAGGGGGGAAUAUUGCACAAUGGGCGCAAGCCUGAUGCAGCGACGCCGCGUGGGGGAUGACGGCCUUCGGGUUGUAAACUCCUUUCGCUAGGGACGAAGCGUUAUGUGACGGUACCUAGAGAAGAAGCACCGGCUAACUACGUG